UACGUAGGGAGCAAGCGUUGUUCGGAUUUACUGGGCGUAAAGAGCUCGUAGGCGGUUCGGCAAGUCGGGUGUGAAAACUCCAGGCUCAACCUGGAGACGCCACCCGAUACUGCUGUGACUUGAGUCCGGUAGGGGACCACGGAAUUCCUGGUGUAGCGGUGAAAUGCGCAGAUAUCAGGAGGAACACCGGUGGCGAAGGCGGUGGUCUGGGCCGGCACUGACGCUGAGGAGCGAAAGCGUGGGGAGCGAACAGG
rnacentral:rRNA from 1 species